GUAUCUGACUCAGGACCUGAUUUAAGGUUUGGGGUUUUUUGGCCCUUUGUUUCUUCCUCUUGUUUUUUGACCUUUAGUUACUCCACACCUCAUUAGUUCCUUGACCUGCAGGUGGACUGAGAAGAGAGCCAUGGUAGCAGGCAAGAGUGUGGUUAUCGUUGGACCAGGAUUCAGGAUCUGACCGAGUAGCUGACUCUUAAUCCAGUUUGUGUUGAUCACCAGGAGGAUCUGGACCUCAGUGUUAUCACAUCUAAAGCUAUAAUCACAUCCCUGUUAAGCCUUCCUGAGAUCACACCAAAUGUCCUUGAUGGGAAUUGUAAACAACCCUUACUUCUGGUUUCUAAUGAUAUUCCAGGAAAGGAGCCUAACUAGAGUCAGUGAUAUGCCAACUCCACCUUUGCCUUCCACCAUGUUUGGAAGCUCCCUGAGGCCUCACCAGGAGCAGAUGCUCGUCCCAUGCUUCCUAUAAGCCUGCAGAACUGUGAGCCAUAAUAAACUGUGAAUUAUAAAUUGCCUUUAUAGCAAUGCAAAUGGACCAGUACAGAUGGGAUGCUGGGAAGACAGUUGUUCCACCUUCAGUAAAGUCCAUGGAACACAGUUGUGACUAUAUUCUAGGCCAGCCAAGAUGCUUGUACUCAGAAAGGAGUGAUCUCAGGACCAUAAGAAAGUGAAAAAAUAAAAAUAAGAAAACAAAGAA
rnacentral:antisense_RNA from 1 species